GUGAAGUGUUCAAUUAAUGUUUAUGUUGAAGAAUUUGGUGUAUCUUAAUGUUACAUCUUAUCUUUCAAAUAGAAGUUUAAAAACAAGCACAUAUGGGCCAAAUAUCGG